rnacentral:rRNA from 1 species
UACAGAGGUCUCAAGCGUUGUUCGGAAUCACUGGGCGUAAAGCGUGCGUAGGCUGUUUCGUAAGUCGUGUGUGAAAGGCGCGGGCUCAACCCGCGGACGGCACUGAUACUGCGAGACUAGAGUAAUGGAGGGGAACCGGAAUUCUCGGUGUAGCAGUGAAAUGCGUAGAUAUCGAGAGGAACACUCGUGGCGAAGGCGGGUUCCUGGACAUUAACUGACGGCUGAGGCACGAAGGCCAGGGGAGCGAAAGGG